GCCUUCGUGGUGUAGCGGUCAGCACACUCCUCGUGUAUUCGUGAGGUCCCUGGUUCAAAUCCUGGCGAGGACA
rnacentral:tRNA from 1 species